rnacentral:rRNA from 1 species
CAGCAGCCGCGGGAAUACGUAGGUGGCGAGCGUUGUCCGGAUUUAUUGGGCGUAAAGGGAGUGUAGGCGGUUAGAUAAGUCUGAUGUGAAAGCCCCCGGCUCAACCGGGGAGGGUCAUUGGAAACUGGGAAACUUGAGUGCAGAAGAGGAGAGUGGAAUUCCACGUGUAGCGGUGAAAUGCGUAGAGAUGUGGAGGAACACCAGUGGCGAAGGCGACUCUCUGGUCUGUAACUGACGCUGAGGAGCGAAAGCGUGGGGAGCGAACAGGAUUAGAUACCCGCGUAGUCCCUGUCUCUUUACC